GUCAAUUUUCUUUAGUUCCUUGCUUCCUCUGGACGACUGAGCCAUUUGUGGAAGCUGAAUAAUCCGUAAGGAGCAACCAAUG
rnacentral:ncRNA from 1 species